rnacentral:misc_RNA from 1 species
GAAGGUCUGAAAUAGAAUUUCUGCUUGCACAAUUGCCAGAUGUACUGGAAUCCCUCUCUCUUUGAAAAAGUCCACUAGUGCAUCUUGGGUAUCCCAUUCGUGACCCAGUAUUCUCUGAACCUGACACUGCAUAGUGUCUAACACGUAGUUUACGAUUCCUACGAAAGAAACCUUUUCUGCAUAUCUCCUGGCAUGUGUCACUACGCAGUGUA